rnacentral:rRNA from 1 species
UACAGAGGGGGCAAGCGUUGUUCGGAAUUACUGGGCGUAAAGGGCGCGUAGGCGGCCAACUAAGUCGGACGUGAAAUCCCCAGGCUCAACCUGGGAACUGCGUCCGAUACUGGAUGGCUCGAAUCCGGGAGAGGGAUGUGGAAUUCCAGGUGUAGCGGUGAAAUGCGUAGAUAUCUGGAGGAACACCGGUGGCGAAGGCGGCAUCCUGGACCGGUAUUGACGCUGAGGAGCGAAAGCCAGGGGAGCAAACGGG